UAGGGAAUCUUCGGCAAUGGGGGCAACCCUGACCGAGCAACGCCGCGUGAGUGAAGAAGGUUUUCGGAUCGUAAAGCUCUGUUGUAAGAGAAGAACGUGUGUGAGAGUGGAAAGUUCACACAGUGACGGUAACUUACCAGAAAGGGACGGCUAACUACGUGCCAGCAGCCGCGGUAAUACGUAGGUCCCGAGCGUUGUCCGGAUUUAUUGGGCGUAAAGCGAGCGCAGGCGGUUUAAUAAGUCUGAAGUUAAAGGCAGUGGCUUAACCAUUGUUCGCUUUGGAAACUUUUAAACUUGAGUGCAGAAGGGGAGAGUGGAAUUCCUUGUGUAGCGGUGAAAUGCGUAGAUAUAUGGAGGAACACCGGUGGCGAAAGCGGCUCUCUGGUCUGUAACUGACGCUGAGGCUCGAAAGCGUGGGUAGCAAACAGG
rnacentral:rRNA from 1 species